UAGCAAUACUUAGUGGCAGACGGGUGAGUAACAUGUAGGUAUCUGCCCUUUGGCCUGGAAUAACACGAGGAAACUUGUGCUAAUACCGGAUAAGUCUUUACGGAGAAAGCUUUAUGCACCAUUGGAUGAGCCUGCACUUGAUUAGUUUGUUGGUGGGGUAAUGGCCUACCAAGACUGUGAUCAAUAGCUGAUUUGAGAGGAUGAUCAGCCACAUUGGGACUGAGACACGGCCCAAACUCCUACGGGAGGCAGCAGUGGGGAAUCUUGCACAAUGGAGGAAACUCUGAUGCAGCGAUGCCGCGUGAGUGAAGAAGGCCCUUGGGUUGUAAAGCUCUUUCGUCGGGGAAGAAAAUGACUGUACCCGAAUAAGAAGGUCCGGCUAACUUCGUGCCAGCAGCCGCGGUAAUACGAAGGGACCUAGCGUAGUUCGGAAUUACUGGGCUUAAAGAGUUCGUAGGUGGUUGAAAAAGUUAGUGGUGAAAUCCCAGAGCUUAACUCUGGAACUGCCAUUAAAACUUUUCAGCUAGAGUAUGAUAGAGGAAAGCAGAAUUUCUAGUGUAGAGGUGAAAUUCGUAGAUAUUAGAAAGAAUACCAAUUGCGAAGGCAGCUUUCUGGAUCAUUACUGACACUGAGGAACGAAAGCAUGGGUAGCGAAGAGGAUUAGAUACCCUCGUAGUCCAUGCCGUAAACGAUGUGUGUUAGACGUUGGAGAUUUAUUUUCAGUGUCGCAGGGAAACCGAUAAACACACCGCCUGGGGAGUACGACCGCAAGGUUAAAACUCAAAGAAUUGACGG
rnacentral:rRNA from 1 species